UAGUCAUUGAUAUCGCGUGUCUUCUACGUAUGUAUUGGUCUUAACAGGCUAAUAUUUUCACAAUGUCGGCAAGUUUCACCAAAAAAAUGACAGGUCACUAACACAAAACAGUAAUAAAGUGAUGGUUGAACCCCGGGAGUAUCAUAACAUGUUUGUGGAUGAAGAUCGUCCAGUAAUCGAGAACAGUGUUCAAGAGUUGUUCUAUGCAGUUUGUCGUCAAAGUUACAUUUGUGCUGCAUAACAUUUGGGAUGUUAAUUACAGGAGGGUUUGCUUCAGUUGUGAAGGUAACUUUUUAUUACAUACAUCCUUUAAAUAGACGGUAAUUUGGUCAUGUGAAGGAAAUUUUGUACGUGAUUUGAAAAUGCUUUAUAUACGCUUAGGUACAUAAUAAAUUGGACGGCUAUCUCUAUGCGAUCAAAAGAAUUUAUUUGAAUCAGAUAAGUGUUCUGUUAAAUCGCAAAAUUGCUCGAGAAGAGAAGUUCCUUUCUAGAUUGAAUCAUGAAAAUAUUGUAAGGUAAAAAGAAAUUUACUAUCCAAAAUAAAUCAAAAUUUUACA